UACGUAGGUCCCGAGCGUUGUCCGGAUUUAUUGGGCGUAAAGCGAGCGCAGGUGGUUUAUUAAGUCUGGUGUAAAAAGCAGUGGCUCAACCAUUGUAUGCAUUGGAAACUGGUAGACUUGAGUGCAGGAGAGGAGAGUGGAAUUCCAUGUGUAGCGGUGAAAUGCGUAGAUAUAUGGAGGAACACAGGUGGCGAAAGCGGCUCUCUGGCCUGUAACUGACACUGAGGCUCGAAAGCGUGGGGAGCAAACAGG
rnacentral:rRNA from 1 species